GAUGAACGCUGGCGGCGUGCUUAACACAUGCAAGUCGAACGGGAUCCAAGGGGUGCUUGCACUUUUUGGUGAGAGUGGCGAACGGGUGAGUAACACGUGAGUAACCUGUCCUUUUCUUUGGGAUAAGCAUUCGAAAGGGUGUUUAAUACCUUAUGUUCUGUCUGCCUCGCAUGGGGUGGGUGGGAAAGGCUUUGGCCGGAUUUGGGUGGGCUCGCGGUCUAUCAGCUUGUUGGUGGGGUGAUGGCUUACCAAGGCUUUGACGGGUAGCCGGCCUGAGAGGGUGGUCGGUCACAUUGGGACUGAGAUACGGCCCAGACUCCUGCGGGAGGCAGCAGUGGGGGAUAUUGCACAAUGGGCGAAAGCCUGAUGCAGCGACGCCGCGUGGGGGAAGAAGGCCUUCGGGUUGUAAACUUCUGUUGCUCUGAACAAGGCAUGCCAGUGGGUGUGUUGAGUGUAGGGGUUGAUUAGCGCCGGCUAACUACGUG
rnacentral:rRNA from 1 species